AUAAUAUUACUAUAUCUCUCUAGGUUAGUGUCUGCAUCUUACACAAUUAAGAUUGGCCAAAAUCUUUGAAAUACCUCUAAGAGAUUACAUUUGGACAUAAAAAUUCAUAAAGCAAAACUUUUAGAAAUGUGAGGUGCAUAUGAAAUAAUCUUAAACAUGUUAAAGAGUUUUAUAUAGCUUUCUUAGCCCUUAUAGACAAAAUAUAUAAAGUUAAUUUAGAGAAUUUAAAUAUCAUAUUAGUACAUUUUAUUUAAUAUAUGGGCAUAUCUUGGAGAUAUUGAGGGUUUGGUUCCAGACUGCUGCAAUAAAGCAAGUCAUACACAGUUUUUUCGGUUUCCUAGUGCAUAUAAAAGUUAUGUUUACACUAUACUGUAGUAUAUUUGGUGUGCAGUAACAUUGUCUAUAAAAACAAUGGACAUACUUUAAUUAAAAUGCUACCAAUCAUCUGAGCUUUCAGCAAGAAGUUGUGAUUUUUUUUGCUGGUGGAGAGUCUUUCCUUGAUGUUGAUGGCUGCUGACUGAUUAGAGUGAUUAGGGCUUAGUCCUUACCAGACUCAAAGCAUGGACUCUAUUUUUGCUCAGAUUAAGAAUUAAAAUACUGAAAAUGUAUCAGUAACUUUUAUUGGACAGAAAGAGGCACUAUGUCAUUUAAAAGGAAACAAAUCAUAUAAAACUAAAAUAAUUUCAAAAACUUCAGUCUGAUGUUCAUGGUUUCUUCCAUAAGGCACAUACAUUGAAACAGAUUCACCCUGAAUCUGUUUUAUUCUAAGCAAUGGAAGUGUCUUUUGCUUAAGACCGUGGGUGUUUCCACCUAAAACAUUGGGAAGAUCGCAUUAUCAAUCAAUCAAGCCUAGAGGGAAUUUUCAGCCCAGACAAAUCUAGAAGGAGGUCCUCACAGUGGCACUAUCAUAACGCCCUGCUAAGUAGAGGGGACUACAGGCAUGUGCCACCACACCUGCUAUAAACAGAUGUGCUGUCAUCCAGGAUUUGUUGUUCCAUACAUAGAGCACAGGCAAAGUAGAUUUAUUAUAAUUUUAUGGGCUCUGGGAUUUUCAGAAUGGUAAAUGAGUAUGAGCUUAUCAGUUCAGUUCAAUAGUGACAUCAAAGAUCCCUGAUCACAGAUCAUCAUAACAGAUAUAAUAAUUAAAAAGUUUGAAAUGUUACAAUAAUUACCAAAAUGUGACACAGAGACAUGAAGUAAGCAAGCACAUACUGUUAGAUAUAUUACAAACACUGUUUUAAGCAGAUAAGAGUGUGGACACCGGGGGAUGUCUACAGUAAAGUGUCACUGGCCCACAAGAAACUAAACAAAGUGGCUUUUUCAUAAAGUGAAAUUUACUCAGUUUCAAGGACCACAUCUUAUUAUGCAGCUCUGUUUUUCAAGUACGCAAUUGUUAAAAUGCCCCCUUUAUUUUAUAAAAUAUUUGCU
rnacentral:lncRNA from 1 species